rnacentral:tRNA from 1 species
GUUUCUGUAGUGUAGUGGUUAUCACGUUCGCCUCACACACCAAAGGUCCCCAGUUCAAAACCGGGCGGGAACA